UACGUAGGUGACAAGCGUUGUCCGGAUUUACUGGGCGUAAAGAGCGCGCAGGCGGUCGUUCAAGUCGAGUGUGAAAGCCCCCGGCUCAACUGGGGAGGGUCAUUCGAUACUGAUCGACUCGAAGGCAGGAGAGGGAAGUGGAAUUCCCGGUGUAGUGGUGAUAUGCGUAGAUAUCGGGAGGAACACCAGUGGCGAAGGCGGCUCUCUGGGCCCUACCUGACGCUGAGACGCGAAAGCGUGGGGAGCGAACCGG
rnacentral:rRNA from 1 species